GGAGGAGGGAGCCGCUGACACACGAGCCCGCGCCCGCUCCCGCUGACAGGCAGGCAGCCGCCCGCGCCCGCCGCCUCCCCCGCUUCCCCGCCCCAGGCCCCAGCGCCUCCCAAGCAGCAGGCCCUAGCCGCAGAAAUGCGGCCGCGCGGCCGAGCCAGGGCCCGGGGGUGGGGCCGCCUGCCAGUGUUUUUCCAGUUCCCCCGGUAGCUCCGGGCCGCAUUUAGAAGCCGGGGAAACUGGGCCGAGGCCAGUGUCAGGGCACCAGAGGCCCUCGCGGCCUGCGGGGCACUGCCAAGCGGGAGGCCAAGCCAGGGCAGGAGUGGGCAGAGGGGCAGGGGGCGGGGGGCGGGGGGGCGGGGGGGGGGGGGGGCAAGGGCAUCUUAACCCACACAGUCGUCCCAAAAAAGACAGAGCUUCCAGACAGCAACUCUGGCUUCCUUAAAAAAUGAUUCUCAUUUCUGAAAACGCGGAGUACCUACUAAGUGCCAGUGCCACUGCCAGCGCCGAAAGAUCCCUGGAAUUCCCACACAGCUCCUCCCUCCCAGAGCUCUCGGUGUAGCUAGGGAGGUAGGGAAGCGCUCCCGUGACUCAGCCCCGGCACGAUGUGGAAAUGAAGUUUAAACAAAGGGCACCUAAGAACAGAGAGAUUAAUUCUGCUUUGAGAGGAAACUAGAGCCCUACCUGAGCCUCCUCCCCGUGGAUUUUCCUGCUGUGUUCGCACUGUGUGCUGUGCUGCCAUGGGUGUUUCUCCCAUCGACCCGCUCAUCGCACCGCCCGUGAGUUGUCCUUCAUGGUCGCACUGCAGCCUCAGGAGCUUUACAAUGUCUGGGACACAGUAGAGGUCAAUGAAGUUCUGUUGAGCAAUUCCAGUGACCUACAACAUUUGGAUAGGAGUCGUCUGCUUGUUGCUUGAUUUCUUGUUUGUUCUCACCCCAGAAGCCAACUCUUAGCAAAAGUGAUGAACGGCAAAUGUACGCCUGUAAUCAGGGGUCAUUCUGGAUGUGUGUGUGUGUGUGUGUGUGCACACAAAAUUUUAAGCGGAAGUAUCCUGAAUUGUAUUUUGAGCAACUUACGACAUCACUUGAAAUUACAAGAAGCACCAUGGGAUAUAACAAGUCCAGGCUGGGAAUCUCUACAAUCCUCCUUGACUUUGGUUAAGACCUUGUAAGAGCACCUUAGCCACCAUCUUUGAAGCAUGGUAGAAGGCCCAUCCUCAUGUUUUUCUUUUUCCCCUCGGUUGAAACAUUAAAGUAACCGAAUAUGUAAUUUUUUGCAGACCCCACUCCAAACAAGACAUUGAAACAAAAUUCACAUGAUGUCCACAUGCCAGUACAUGUCACACAGCUGCUCUUGGCUAUUUAUGGAUGUGAGAUAUUACCUCCAGAGUUAGACUGGAAGUGAACUGAGUCAUAAAUUGUUAUCGAAGGAAGCGUGCACUUGCAUCUCUGGAAAUUAAUAUUAACAGGCAAAGGCUUCCCAAGCCUGUUCCAGCUGGAGUCGCCAUCCCCUGACACGUCUUGUCCACUAACUUCGUGUGGCUCAAUUAUACCUUGGUUUGGGAGCCUUCUUCAGAGUUGCAUGUGUUUGAUUGUAAAUGGAGAUCUAACAGCGAACACUUUUUGCUGGUCUAACAGACAUAUGAAGGCACUUCUUGCCAGACCCGCAGGGUGCAGGGCUUUGCUGAGAAAACCUGCAAACAAAUCUCAUAAAGCUCAUGGCUCCCGAGGCCGCCUAGAGUCCCCGUCUUCAUCUUUUUCAACCUCUUCCCAACACUAAACUCUUACUGAGCACCUACUCUGUGCUGUCACUAUAGAGAGACAGAUGAAUGAGACAGCGGCCUCUCAAUCUCUGGGGAAUUGAGGUGUAAAUACAGUAUUUUUUGAAGGGGCCCCCUGAGGUAACUCAAGCAAAACGAAUGCUUCUUUUUGUAAAGACUGGGGCUUCCAGGCAGCUGGGCAGGCGAGAGCAGCUGGAGAUGCAGAGCAGAGGGGAGAAGAGGCUCCCAGCCUGGGUGUGGUGUUGAGAGGGAGGGCAGAGAGAGGCCGGGCCUGACUGGUUUCAGGAGCUAAUGAGUCACAGCCAUCAGUCAGUCAAUCAUGGCCCAGGAAACGCUGCCUCUUUAAAUACCCUGGAGGGGCCAGGUGGAGCCAGAAGAACCUGACCUGGAGAUGGGCCCUGCCCCAACUCAUGGUGACCUUGGCAAUGUCCCUUGCACUCAUUUAACUCCAGUUUCUUUAUCUGUAAAGUCAGAGUGUUGGAUCCUUUGGUCCCGGGGCUCCUCCAACUUUGAGACCACAAUCCCCUGAUUUGCCCUCCCAAGAGGCCUGCCCCUGAAUAGGUGUCUAUAUGUGCAGAUAAUGUGAACUAUGGAAGCUUUAUGCCAGGUGUUGCAAUUAGAUGCUUAUGAUUCAUGAGGUGCAAGCAUACAUGAUAUGCCCCAGGACACAGAGCCUCUUUCAGGCUCUCAUUUAUCCCGCCUGUCCCCAGUCUCUGCCCCCUCCUGAUUUCUACCUCCUUUGUCUCCCUCUACUCCCCUCUCUGUUUGGUUCACGUUUUAAUCAUCCAUUCAUUCAACAAAUACAUUUAGCACCUACCAUGUACUGUGCACUACAUCAGGCACCACAAUCGAUCCGAACCCCACUCUGAGGUGAACUUUCUAGGUGGAAAGGGAGGAAGAGAAGGCAGGGAGGGGGCCCAGGAGACUGGGCUCUCCUGUGCUGUCAGGCUGGACUCAGGAAUCUGAUGCUCGGCUCUUGAGCUCCGGGAGGGCCCUCUCCUACUGUGCGCGGGCCUGCUGCAGCGGCCAUCGAUUUUCUGGAUUUUCAAUAGAUUUCCUGGAAUGGAGAGAGAAGGAUCUCCCACCACACUUCAGACUCAGCAUUUCGAAAUGAAAGUCGAGAUUCCCUCCUUCUCACAUCAUUGCUCUCCCCUCAGUUAGAAGGAAUCUCCCUCCUUCCUCUCUCCAGUGAAAGCCAUUUCAGUCCCUUUGGCCUCCUGACACUCAAGGAUAUUUGGGUCUGUUGAUGGGCUACAGAGGAGACAAGUGACCCCAAGAAGUGGAAGGGCGAGAGUGGUUGUGACAAGCAAGCAAGGAGGGGCACUGGCCCACCAGCAGAGGAUUAAAGCAGCAGAAGGAAGUCGUGUGGGGGGCAGGAGAAGGCCCAGGGCUCAUUGGAGUGAGGCUCCUGGCAAAGCCUGCCAUGGGGAGCUGAGUAAUCUGGCUUUUAGGGUUCAGGUUACUUGACAGCAGCUGGCAUUUCUCUGCCGCCUCCAAGUCACCUUCUUUCCCCUCCCUGUGGCUCCUUGUUUGCUUUGAACUGGGAGAGGCUGUCAUGGAAUCUAAUCAAUGCUCAGAGGUGGAGGACACCAACCUGAGAAGACAUGGGGCGAGCUCCCCCCUAGACCAUGGACAGAGCAGGCAGACCUGGGCUCCUGCUGGGGUUAAGGCCCUCCCACCAUCCCCAGUCAGAUCUGGAGAUUAACACCCCCACCCAUUCCCCUUCCCCUAUGGGAGGGAUCACCUUUCCCUUCUGGACUUUGAGAGGAGCCGUCUUACCCUCAUUCCUCUCUGUGCUGAGGGGUGUUCCUAUAUGUAAUUACGCAGGUGGUGAGGGCAGGAAGAGGGAGCGUGGAACCAGGAAGCCCAAAGUUUUGCAGCCUCCGAAUGAAAGAAGACAAAUUCUGAGCUGCGGUGGAGAGGAUUGUUUAAAAGCAGAAAUGAAUUGGGGUGAGAGAGGAAGGUGGUGGAUGUCGAGAGAGAGUGAUUUACAAUGUUCUGGGCACAGACAGAAUCCUGGCCCCCUCUCUCUGCAGCCGGAUCUCAGGGCUCGCUCGGCCUGAGAAUCUCAAUAGCUCAACCUCUCUCCUCCUCGCCCCCCCCCACUCCCUCGCCAUCUCUCCCUUCUGUUGCUUCAGUGGUUUGCAUCGUCAUCUGCCAAACUCCCCAGAACCUGGUAUGCACUUCAGCCCCAGCUGUAUGUCCUCCUCUGCACUCCAGGAACUGCACAAAUAAACCGCUGAGAACAGAGCCCUCCUCACCACAAACAGCACGCGGGCUUCUGCUCAGCCUCUGUGGCCUUGGACCGGCUCCUGGGAAGGGCCCCUGCCUGGGGACAGGCACCGUCACAGCCACAGCCUGCCUCUCUCAAACACUCAGCCAUGGGGAGCCCCUGCUUCCCAGAUGAAGGGGCAGCUCGGUGGGAAACAGUCGGCUGUGCCCACAGCCACCCUCACCCUGGGCUAAGCCAGGUCCAAGGCAUACGGCUUCUCUCCCGGGGGACCAACCAUGCAACUCAGUGACCUUGAGAAAGUUAUUUUAGCCUCUGCAGACUUCCCUUUCCCUGUUUUUAAAUAGAUCAGAGAUUUAUGCUGUUUAAUUCACAAAGGAGCUGCAUGGAAAAAGGCUGAUUUGUUCUGAAGGACUUUGGCUUCCUGAGAGGAACCCAAGGUUCUAGGAAAGCUCCUUGAGCUGCACAGAUACCUGUGUAUGCUCAUGCAUGGUGCACAGAUGGGUCCAUGCUCUCGCCACAUCCAUUCACCCACUGGGCUAUAACCCUGGGGACAGGGGUAUUGUUGCAUGCACUGCUGGGUCCCCUGCAAUGUAGCACUUGGAAUAAAGUUAAUGCUCAAUAAAUAUUUAUUGAAUGAACGCACUUGACAA
ensembl:lncRNA